GAGUUUGAAUCGUGGCUCAGAUUGAACGCUGGCGGCAGGCCUAACACAUGCAAGUCGAGCGGAAUGACGGGAGCUUGCUCCUUGAUUCAGCGGCGGACGGGUGAGUAAUGCCUGGGAAUCUGCCUGGUAGUGGGGGACAACGUUUCGAAAGGAACGCUAAUACCGCAUACGUCCUACGGGAGAAAGCAGGGGACCUUCGGGCCUUGCGCUAUCAGAUGAGCCUAGGUCGGAUUAGCUAGUUGGUGGGGUAAAUGGACUCACCAAGGCGACGAUCCGUAACUGGUCUGAGAGGAUGAUCAGUCACACUGGAACUGAGACACGGUCCAGACUCCUAGGGAGCAGCAGUGGGGAAUAUUGGACAAUGGGCGAAAGCCUGAUCCAGCCAUGCCGCGUGUGUGAAGAAGGUCUUCGGAUUGUAAAGCAAC
rnacentral:rRNA from 1 species